AGGUCGCCUCCUGAAGGUCUGCCUGCUCAGGUCAUGGGUACUCUGAUAGAGACGUGGAGUAUUAACAUCACAGAUACACAUAAACUAAUGGGAAGGAGCUCCCUCUGAAAACCCACAGCGGACAGCUACCAUGUCAAAGGACACCAAAGCCAUCAAACACCAUUUCCAGUGUUGGGUGCCUGUGGGCAGCUCAUCUUGAGAGACAGAAAUGAGCAGCGACCCUGUGCAGUUUGACAGGCUUGACCCCCUGAAGCGGUCCUAUACUUCUCACAGGCUGGAACUGGUGUGGUACUGGACUCUGAGAGUGUGUAAAGGGACGGGCCUCUGUUUUAUCGGCAAUGCUCUGCAGUUGGCCACUGGAGGGCGCUAUCGAGCUACGGACUGGAAUUCUAGAUGCCCAUUUUAGUUCUUCAGAAAGCACAGUCGUCUCUUCUGGAUUCAGAACUCCAUCUCCAGCAUCAUGAUCUACAGAGAACCGGACACAAGACAAAACAAGCAAACACCGUCUUCUGAAAAUCAGGUUGCUUCUUUGAAACUGCCUUAGGUCACGUCAGCUCUGUGUUCCUGAGCGUCAAGGCUGAGCGGCUACACUGAAGCUGAAACAGACCCAGCCAGCAGUGACAGAGGUGCCUCUGUCUGGGCACUAGCAUGCUCUCAGGAGUUGUUUAGACUUCCAGCCCUCCUCUUCUCCAGUUCACGAAACAGGUAAUAACUUUAUCCAGCAGGAAGACACAUACUUCUUUUAGAAUGCUAUCUUAUAAAAUCUUCUGGAAGAACAGUGGGGGAGAUGUGCAAUAGCCACUUCUCUGUGCAGUAGCUAACCAUUCUCUGACUGUAUGCCAAUUGUCCCAAAAGAAACACAACCAUCAUAUUUCGAAAGAUUAAGUUUUGUAAUUUUAAAUGAUUGUGCAUUGUUUAUGGGUGCGAGUACAGGUGCCUUGCAGAAUCCAGAAGAGGACAGUGACUGUCACGGAGCUGGAGUUACUGGUGCCUGUGCACGGCCACACAUGGGUGCUGGGAGCUGAACUCAGCUCCCUAGCCACGAAGGCCACCCUUUCAGCCCUAAUAAUCACAUUUGUAAGAGGAGGGGAAGAAAGCCACUUUAAAUACUCUUGAAAGGUACUUACAUGAAUGAAUAAAAGGAGCCAAGACAUAGAAGUGAGUUAUCUAAAUAGACUACAUCUGACUUUUCAAUUCAUACUCUUAUUAUAUUUUAUCAAAAAUAAGUAUAAAAGGUUUUCUGAGAACAGUUUAUAACAUGGCUGAGAACAAUUCAAGUAUAAUUUUAGUUUCUGCAGUUUCAAAAGUAAGUUAAGAAACAGCUGAGAAAAUACAAAGCAGUAUUAUCAUAGAGCCCUGAGCACUGCCCACUCCAGUGAGAUAAAGCAGUAUUAUCAUAGAGCCCUGAGGACUGCCCACCCCAGUGAGAUGGCUCAGUAGGUAAAUGUUUUUGCUGUGAAGUCUGACUAUCUAAGUUUGUUUCCUAGAAUCCACAAGACAGGGGUAGAUAACUGACUCCCCUGUAGUGGUCUGAAUGAAAAUGGUCACCGUAGGCCCAUUGGGAGUGGCACUAUUAGUAGGUAUGACCUUGCUGGAGUGGGUGUGCUUCUUUGCUAGAGGAAGAUUGUCACUGCAGGACAGGCUUUUGAAGUCUCAGAUGCUCAAGCCAGGCCCAUAGUGUCUCUUCCUGCUGCCUGCUUAUGCAGAUGUAGAACUCUCAGCUACCUCUCUAGCACCUUCUGUGUGUCUGCCUGUGUGCCUCCAUGCUUGCUGCCAUGAUGAUAACAGACUAAACCUCUGAACUGUCAGCCACCCCCGAUUACAUGCUUUCCUUUAUAGAAGUUGCCAUGGUCAUAGUGUCUCUUUUCAGCAAUAGAAGCCCUAACUAAGACAGAAGUUGAUACCUGGGACUGGGGUAUUGUUGUAAUUGGCCUGACCAUGCUUUUGUUUGGAUGAAUGUGGACUUUGGACUAGAAAGGCAGGUGAGUGCUUUAAGUGGGCCUUAAUGGGCUGCUCUAAUAGGAGCUGGAAGACUGGUGCUGAGGGGGAUUUGAAUUACGGGGCCUGGCUCAAGAUGUUUCAGAGGAUAAGAAUAUUAAUAUAUGGCCUAAAAAUUGUUCUUUCAAUAUUUUGCCCUUUGGCUGCUUUCUGCAUUUGUAUAAAAAAACCUGUCUGUGUUGUGUGGUUAUCAGUGGCCAGUCUUAUGCAGAUCUGUAAUGAAAAGGAAUAAGGGGAUUAAGGGACGAUACAAAAUGAAAGGGGCACGAGGAAGUGUAAACAGAUUAAAGACAAGCCUGAUGCUACGUGGAAUAGAGGGAUCGGUGACCUCAGAGCAAGACCCCGCCCAGCUAAGCUGCCAAUUUGUGAAAAGGAAUGAAAAAAAGCUUAGGGCCGGGCAUGGUGGUGCACACCUUUAAUCUCAGCACUCUGAAGGCAGAGGGUGGCAGAUCUCUGAGCUUGAGGCCAGCCUGGUCUACAGAGUAAAUUCCAGGACAGCCAAGCUUAGGCCAUCAAAAACCAGAAAGCUGAUGAAAAUGUAUUUAAACGAGGGGCCAUGGUCCAACCCCAACAGCAGUAGAACUUGGCAGCUCUGGACACAUGGUUCUGAUUUUAAAGUCAAUGGUACAAGAAAGGUGUUAUGGAAUCUCCCUCUAUGACAAAGGAAAGUUGCUGAGGUCAGGCGUGUGUGUGUCAGGGGUAUCCCUGCAUGGAGCUUCAGAGAGACCAUUGUGUGAAGCUGGGAAGGUGAGGCCUGGGUUGCCUUGGAGACCCUGAAAUAUUGGAGAUGCCAGAUCUGUGUGAUACCUGCUGAGGAGAGCUGCUAACAGGGAGCGGAACCAGCCCAAGAGAGGGAAGUGUGUUACAGUCAAUAACGUCAACAAAGCUGAAAGGAGUUAGAGAUGUGAAGAGCCCUGUAACAUCAGAAGUGGAGAUGCAGAGUUUGGAGUCUGCCCAGCUGGUUUUCUGUCUUGCUUUGAUCAGUGUUUCCCCACUCUCCUCCCUUUCCUCCCAUUUGCAAUGGUGAUUAUAUCCUGUGUCUCUGUAUGUAGGAAGUAUGUGAUCUGCCCUUUUAUUUUGAUUGUACAGGAGGUUACAGUUAAGAGACUGCCAUGAGUCUCCGAAUAUAUUUUGAAGAUCCCUUUUUUUUUUUUUUUAAGAUUUAUUUAUUGCUUAUAUGUAAGCACACUGCAGCUGUCCUCAGACACUCCAGAAGAGGGAGUCAGAUCUCGAUACGGAUGGUUGUGAGCCACCAUGUGGUUGCUGGGAUUUGAACUCCGGACCUUUGGAAGAGCAUUCGGGUGCUCUUACCCACUGAGCCAUCUCACCAGCCCUCCGAAUAUAUUUUGACUCAGGAAUUUUAAAAAGUGUUGAGACUAAUUGACUUUGGGGACUGUUGAAAGUGGACUGAAUGCUUUCUGCAUUACAAUCUUGCUACAAGUCUGUGGGGGCCAGGGAGUGGAAUGUGGUGGUUUGAAUAAAAAUGGCCUCCACAGGCCCAUGGGGAGUGGCCCUGUUAGGAGGUGUGGCCCUGUUGGAGGAAGUGAGUCACUGGGGGCGGGCUUUGAGGUCACCCUCUCUUCCUGCUUCCCGUCUAUGCAGAUGUAGAACUCUCAGCUACUUCUCCAGCUACCUCUCUUGCUUCCAUGCUGUCAUUUUUCUGGCUAUGAUGAUAAUGGACUGAACCUCUGAACAUGUAAGCCAGCCCCGAUUAAAUGUUCUCCUUUG
ensembl:antisense Gm26555 predicted gene, 26555